CCUACGGGUGGCAGCAGUGAGGAAUAUUGGUCAAUGGGCGCGAGCCUGAACCAGCCAAGUAGCGUGAAGGAUGACUGCCCUACGGGUUGUAAACUUCUUUUAUAAAGGAAUAAAGUGAGUCACGUGUGCCUUUUUGUAUGUACUUUAUGAAUAAGGAUCGGCUAACUCCGUGCCAGCAGCCGCGGUAAUACGGAGGAUCCGAGCGUUAUCCGGAUUUAUUGGGUUUAAAGGGAGCGUAGAUGGGUUGUUAAGUCAGUUGUGAAAGUUUGAGGCUCAACCGUAAAAUUGCAGUUGAUACUGGCAGACUAGAGUACAGUUGAGGUAGGCGGAAUUCGUGGUGUAGCGGUGAAAUGCAUAGAGAUCACGCAGAACACCGAUUGCGAAGGCAGCUUGCUAGACUGCCACUGACAUUGAUGCUCGAAAGUGUGGGUAUCAAACAGGAUUAGAUACCCUUGUAGUC
rnacentral:rRNA from 1 species